CCAGGGACACCCACCAGUGGACCAGUAACCCCAGAUCCCCCCGCCAGGGGACCAGGGACACCCACCACGGGACCAGGGACCCAAGACCCCCCCAGCAGGUGAUCCAGUACACCAGACCCCCCCAGCCCCCACACCAGGUGGUCCAGGACCCUCACCCCCCCCACCAGCUGAUGUGGAACACCACCCAACAGGGCUCCAUCUCCUCAGCUGACCAGAAAAUCUGCGACGAAGAUACGAUAACAAGAGAUGGCCUCUGGUGGACCAACCAGGUGGAGCUCCUGGUCCUCAGGCUCCUGCUCAUCAAGCUGCUGGUCUUCAACACAUUGAUCAGUGCCCUCACUGCUGUGAGCUGAUGGUGAAGGACGGGGGAUUCCCACGACAAUGGCCGACGCCAUCUUCAUCAGGAGAAGACUCGAGGACACAGAGGUUCCUAAAAGCCCACCAACACCGUCACCGUGGGCAACAUGUUGUACCUCCGUCCUGGUACUGUCCUGCCCUUAGCUCGACAAACACGACAUUGAAAGUGUUUUUCUAGGAGGAAUCGUUGUGGAUGUUAAGAGGGAACAGCAGACACAUUUCAAGCAGCCUUCCUGUCCCCUCCACAUCGCAGCUGCUCCUCAGAGCGGCAGUUGAGAACCGGUCGUGUCUUUCAGACUCCAGUCGUGUAUCUGAUCCCAGCCUAACCUCAGCCAGAUGGGGAACUUCAGAGCCAACUGGGUUCGCUGGGUGGUUGUUCUGUGAUCCACAUUUAAUGUAUUCACACAUGUGGAGGGACGAAUGAAACGAAUAGUCAUUGUUUUUUUCUUAAUUGAUUUUUUUAUUUUAAAUAAAACACUUGCACAUUU